rfam:Gossypium hirsutum cultivar TM-1 chromosome 17, whole genome shotgun sequence
AAACCAUGGAUCGAACAUUUCCUAAGUAAUUCCUUGAAUCACUCCUAAGCUUCAUACAACGUCUCAUCUGCUGAUUGCUAAAAAGAUGUGAUAUCAUUCCUUAACUU